AAAAAUCAAUAUUGAAUCGGUUCGGUUGGAUUGAAGAUGUGAGCAUUUAUGUAUCACCCUCCUUCUGAUCUCUUCAAUAAAUACACACUCAUCCUUCUACCAAUCUCCACUUGAUCCUCAUUACCACUCUUCCUUCUCUUCUCACACAACACAUUCACUCAGAGAUAGAAAUUGCGAGAGAGAAUAGGGUUUUUGUGUGGAACAAGUGUUGUAUGUAAUUAGUGUCGGGCAUUCUUGUGAGAAAUGACUUCCUUAUAUUGAAAUAGAGAUUUAGGUGGUUAAUCCCAAGUGAGUCAAACAUUGCUAAAGUAAGUAUCAACACCUCAUAUAGGUAAUCAAUCAGGAUGCCACUGGUGUUUGAUAUUAUUUCUUUUCAGUUUUUGGUUGAGUUAACUUGCAGUCACAUUCUUAUAUCUUUGGCAGCUCAGUGAUAUAAUUGACAUCACUCACAUUUCAAUAAAAAAAAAAACUUCUCUUUCUGAUUAUUUCUUCUUGGAGCAAUAGAUUCUGGCCAAACAACAAAAGCAGAGUGUAUUUGCUUGAGAACACCGGCCUGUAUCUCUCUUAUGAUUUGGCUUACUUUCUAGCCUUUUGUGUUACUUUUUUCUUUCUCACUUUCUUUGUGCAGGUCUAUGCUUGUUCCUGAUAACUGAAGUAUUUGCAUACCUGCAUUCUUGAGGAUCUGAAGGAGGUUCAUUUUCUGCUUCAGUUAGAUUAUCUUCCUUUCCAUGCCGAAGUUGAGAAACGUCAUGGCCUUCCACAUGCAUGCAGGGGUGAGAAAUCUGAACAGCGGCUUCUAAGGCAUCCUCAAUGGCUGUGGCAAAGGGAAUACAAUGAACUUUGUCUUGAGAAGAUGCUCUAUGUUUUGAGGACCAGGAGGUGAUAAUGCUGUUGAGGCUGGUGAACCAAGGCCCUUUUAAUGUAAAUAUCCAAUUUAAUUUCUCAACUGCAUUAAGGCGCAUUGUGAUAAAAUCAAUCCAAAAUGAUGUCAAUGUUUGUAAGGCACUGAAAGUAGCUAACAUUGCUUCCUAAAGUUUGCUUUCUUUAGUUUGUGAAGUCGUGUUUCUAUUGGUGUUUAGGUUUAGUGUCUGAUUCUUUAUGUUGUUAAUUUUUUAUGGCAUGUAUGCAUAGUUUAAGCUCUUACUUACCAUAGUUAGCUCAUGACAAUAAAGAAUUGUUGUAUGUAAUUAGUGUCGGCACAUGUUGAGUUGUGGAUUCUUGUGCGAAAUGACUUCCUUACAUUGAAAUAGAGGUGAAAGGAUCAUCUACCUUGUAUGUAAUUAGUGUCAACACGUGUUAAAUGAAAAAAAAGGAUCUGUGUACAGUGUACUAGCUAAUAUUCCUAGACUUUGGAAAUGAA